CGCUGGCGGCGUGCUUAACACAUGCAAGUCAAGGGGAAAGUUUCGACUUGUCGGGAUGAGUAUACUGGCGGACGGGUGAGUAACGCGUAGGUAACCUGCCCUUAUGUUUGGGAUAACCUUGCGAAAGCGGGGCUAAUACCGGAUGUGGUCCUAGUGAUUAUAUUUUAUUAGGAUUAAAGUUGCUUGGGGUGACCUGGGUAACGCAUAGGGAUGGGCCUGCGUUCCAUUAGCUAGUUGGUGAGGUAAGGGCUCACCAAGGCGACGAUGGAUAGCUGGUCUGAGAGGACGAUCAGCCACACUGGGACUGAGAUACGGCCCAGACUCCUACGGGAGGCAGCAGUGGGGAAUAUUGCGCAAUGCCCGCAAGGGUGACGCAGCGACGCCGCGUGGGUGAAGAAGCUCUACGGAGUGUAAAGCCCUGUCAGAGGGGAAGAACGGCUUGGAUUCGUAAGGAUUCAGGUGUGACGGUACCCUCAGAGGAAGCUCCGGCUAACUCCGUG
rnacentral:rRNA from 1 species